GAUGAAGAACGUAGCGAAAUGCGAUAAGUAAUGUGAAUUGCAGAAUUCAGUGAAUCAUCGAAUUUUUGAACGCACAUUGCGCCCCCUGGUAUUCCGGGGGGCAUGCCUGUUCGAGCGUCAUUUCACCACUCAAGCCUCGCUUGGUAUUGGGCAACGCGGUCCGCCGCGUGCCUCAAAUCGACCGGCUGGGUCUUCUGUCCCCUAAGCGUUGUGGAAACUAUUCGCUAAAGGGUGUUCGGGAGGCUACGCCGUAAAACAACCCCAUUUCUAAGGUUGACCUCGGAUCAGGUAGGGAUACCCGCUGAACUUAAGCAUAUCAAUAAGCGGAGGA
rnacentral:misc_RNA from 1 species